rnacentral:rRNA from 1 species
GACGAACGCUGGCGGCGUGCUUAACACAUGCAAGUCGAACGGAAAGGCCCUGCUUUUGUGGGGUGCUCGAGUGGCGAACGGGUGAGUAACACGUGAGUAACCUGCCCUUGACUUUGGGAUAACUUCAGGAAACUGGGGCUAAUACCGGAUAUGAGCUCCUGCUGCAUGGUGGGGGUUGGAAAGUUUCGGCGGUUGGGGAUGGACUCGCGGCUUAUCAGCUUGUUGGUGUGGUAGUGGCUUACCAAGGCUUUGACGGGUAGCCGGCCUGAGAGGGUGACCGGCCACAUUGGGACUGAGAGACGGACCAGACGCCUACGGGAGGCAGCAGGGGGGAAUAUUGCACAAUGGGCGGAAGCCUGAUGCAGCAACGCCGCGUGCGGGAUGCCGGCCUUCGGGUUGUAAACCGAUUUCGCCUGUGACGAAGCGUGAGUGACGGUAAUGGGUAAAGAAGCAACGGCUAACUACGUG